GAGAGAGGCAACCAGUGUCCCUUUGUUGUAAGUGGGAGCGCAAUGUGUGACUCCCUGCACUUUGAGGCUGGGCUCAGAGAGCUCUGUCCCAGGUCAAGUUCUGACAGUUCAUUCAGUCUGUUUCUCUCUAGAGUCUCAGUUCAGUAAGUCAGUUGAAAUGGUGACUCUCCUCACAGUUACUGGAGAAGGCUGGUAGCCGUGCGGAGGAUGCUGUCCCUGCAUACAGUUGCACACUUGCACAAUGAGUUUAUGGUAAGCGGGGCGUACCUGCAGGCCAGGGCUCCUUUGCUGCGUCCCGAACAUAGGAGGAACCUUUGGGUCUGGCUCUGAGCCUGCACAUGAGCAUCCUGCAGGCCCCUGUUUCAGCACCAGGGCAGUCACUGAAGUUCUUCAGCCCUCUGACAGAGCUCUGUUGAAACCUGAGCCCUGCUGAGGUGGGGCUCUUCUUGUCUUCCUGUUCUUGGGGGCUCAUUUUUUCCAUAGCGGCCUCCCUACCAGCAUCCCUUACUAGCACUAAGCUCAGGGAAGGGAGACGAGCCUGCAGUCAGGCUCAGCACCCCACACCCCGCUCCCUUCCUGGUCACAGGGAUGGAUGGAUGGAUGGAUGGAUGGAUGGAUGGAUGGAUGGAUGGAUGGAUGGAUGGAUGGAUGGAUGGAUGGAGUGAGUGCCCAUCCCCCCAGGAAGAGGGCCAGUGUGUCUGCCUUCUCUCUUUUCCUAAUUGCACUAUGCUUGUUCUGGCUUCAGUCUAGAGGUGUCUGAGGUCUCCAUGGGAUCAUGACCCUUAGACUCAGCAAGUCUGCCUUAGCUCUAGAGCGUAGUGGUGAGGAAUCACCAUUUCCUGGUGUCUCGAGCCCAUUUCCCUCAGGCCAUCUCUCUCCACAGCGUGCGUUCAUCUGAAUCAUUUACUCUUUAUUUUCUGAAGUACUGUACUUGGCUAUCUGCACUGUUUUAAGAACCAAAUGUUUUUGUGUUUUUAAUCCUCAACACUUGGUGCAAUAGAAGCCGCAAAGACGUGCCACUUUAUCUCUGGAACUGAUUUUGUAUACCAAUAAAUUCUAGUUUAAAAGC
rnacentral:lncRNA from 1 species